CUUCAAAUUCAAACACACACACAUACCCUUUAAUUUCAAGAUUUUCUCAUCAAUUUCUAGCUUCUUUUUUCCAGAAAAUAAUGAAGACAGUGAGUAUUUUCAUGUUCCGAAUUCUGAGUAUUUUGUUGAUGGCAAUAUCUCAUACGGGACAUGCUCAGAAUUUGGAUCUUUCACCGGCACCUGCUCCCACCAGUGAUGGCACUGCAAUGGAUCAAAAUAUUGCUUAUUUUCUUAUGUUGCUGGCGCUUGUGAUUACCUACAUGCUCCAUUGA